AAUGUUGAACUUCGGUGUACUGUCAUGUCACCCUUCUGAUCACAGUUCGUUUGUAGAAUACUGGAGCGUCACCUGGCAAGCAGGAGUCAUGGCAGUGCAGACAGGGUGGGCAGUGACUGGCUGGCAGCUUGCCCCUCUGAUGGAGAUUUCGUGUUCCAUAGAGAAUCUUGACUCACGCCUACUCCAGAGUUGUCCUGAGGGUCCUGGAAGAAGCCGUGGCAGCCAAGAAACGUUUCA
rnacentral:lncRNA from 1 species